UUUCUAGGUGGACUGCCGGGUGGAGAGCAGGUGUUGUAGGCAGAAAGAAUCAUCCCUGCCUCCACUUCCCCUCAGCCUAGCCUGGGGUAGAGAGGCCAGGCAUCUACCCCUGGCAGAGGUGUUUGAGAAAGGAGCCUUGCCUGGGUUGUCCUAGCCUCACGUUU
rnacentral:snoRNA from 1 species